rnacentral:lncRNA from 1 species
AGGGGCUCAAAAUUUAGUUUAGUUAUAGUUGAUCAAAUCGAUUCAUAUGUGAUGUGAAUUGAUUAAAUCAAGAUCAAAUUUAGCUCAGUGAUUCAAGCUCGAGUAACUAGACUGAUCUAUUCGAUUCUAAUUGAUCGAUUGGUGUCUAAGAUAAGUUUGACAGCUCGAUCGAUGGUUUUUAAUUGAGAGCGUGCUUACCUAACCAU